CCAGUCCUGUAAGCUCCACUUAUGAUACAAAGACUCCUGAAGGCUUGGGAGGGAGCGAGGACAUGGCUGAGCAAGGAAGAAAGGGAAGGGGACAACAGGAUUUUUAUGAAGGAGUGAAAAGGAAGGACAAUUUGAGAACAUGACCUGUCUUCCUUCUCUGACAUGGAGGCUGGUGAAAGUGAAUCAUCACUGAACAAAUUCUUGCUAAGUUAAAAACAAAUUAAAAUCGCCAUCUAAUGUGGGUAAAGAGAUGCAACUAGCUAACUGCGUGGGUGUGGAUUUCCCACAUGGCCCCUGAAAGCACUGCUUUGGACAGGGCUCCUACCCCAUAAAGCUUAUUUUUCAGUCAUUUUUAGAACUUGCAUCAGUUCAACUGUUUUUAGAUAGGUUUGUGGGUUGUUUUUUCUUUAAAAGUCUACACAAAGCAGCCUGUGGAAAUGUCAGAGGCAUGUGAACCAGAACAACUCCAUCUUUAAUAGGAGCUGGGUAAAGUGAGGCUGACACCUACUGGGCUGCAUUCCCAGGUGGUUAAGGCAUUCUAAGUCACAGGAUGAGAUAGGAGGUCAGCACAAAGUACAGGUCAUGAAGACCUUGCUGAUAAAACAGGUUGCAGUUAAGGAGCUGGCCAAAACCCACCAAAACCAAAAUAGUGACGAGAGUGACCUCUGGGCAGCCUCACUGUUACACUCCCACCAGCGCCAUGACAGUUUAAAAAAUGCCAUAGCAACGUCAGGAGCCCUAUGUGGUCUAAAUAGGGGAGGCAUGAAUAAUCCAUCCCUUGUGUAGCAUAUCAUCA
rnacentral:lncRNA from 1 species